ACGGGCGGGGUGGGGGAGGAGGGCGUCCCGGGAGGCGGGGCCGUGGUGUCCCCGCCCCCUCCUUCACCUGCCCCGGGUUGCGCGUUCGGGACGCCAGGCCGCAGCCCCGCAGGUAGGCGCGCUGGGCGUGCCCGGCCCGUAGGGACCCCAGGCCUCCCCGAGAGGCGGUGGCGGCGCCGCCCGCAGCCGUGGGGCCCGACGCACCACUCCAAAGCGGACCCCUUUGAAGCCUGCCUUGUGAACACGUGACGGAACACCUUGAGCCCCUCUAAAGGGCGCCCGUCUGCCCUGGCCCCGCGCCGGGCCUUUCAGGAACGGUCCUGAAGUCCGGCCCUGUGACGGGAGGCGGGAGGAGGUGAGCGAAGGUGGCUUUAGACUCCGGGGCCCGCUCGUGUGUGUGGCUCGAAUCCUGGUGGCGAAGGACGCGCUGGCGGGGUGCGGCCAGCGUCCCCGCUUUCCGGAGCGUCUGUGGCCGGUGAGCGUCUCUCCAGCCCUCCGCAGGGGUCUCCGGUAACGCCCUCCCCCGUUUCAGCCCCAGUGGUUGGAGAUGGGGAGCCUGGGAGCCAGGGCUGCCGGGGGUUGGGUUUUGUGCGUGACUUUUCCUGUGAGUUGGUGGUUGCAGCUCUACCAACUAAAAAGAUGAAAAAGCUGUAGGAACAGAGAGAUCAGCCGAGACGAGCGCCGUUAACCCGCGUGGAGCCGCAGCCUCGGGCAGCCGCUGCCUGGCUACGCCGGAGCUGGGCACGGAAGCGCCUUGGUAGGCAGCGCGGGUGCUUGCCUGAUGCUCGGGUCGGGCACCGCGGCCUCAGCCUCAGCCUCAGCCUCAAAGCUGAGGUAGCAGGCAGCCCCGAAAAGGCCGCUCUGCGCAGCUGCUGACUCAGUUAUCUUCAACUUGAAGGAGCUGGGACUGAACUCACGACCUUCGCAAGCCAAGCGCAUGCUCCACCACCAACCCACGUCCUCAGCGUAAUGGGUAGUUUUGUAAGAAACUGCCCAACUGUUUUCAAAACCGAGUGUCUCUUACUACACGCACGCACACGCGCGCGCGCGCGCACACACACACACACACACGCUGCAGUCUGGUUCUAGAUCCUUCGCAGUAUUUCUCAUAUUAGAUCUUUACCGUUCAAAAUUUGUUUAGUAGCUUUUCAAAUUUGAAGAACAUCUGUUGGCACACUCAUUUGCCUUUUGAGUGUUCUUUGUUUCUGCUUAGGACAGGGUCUUGACCCUGGCUGGCCUGGUACUGGCGUGUAGCUCAGGCUGGCUUUGAAGAUGCAACAACCCCAGGCUCGUGCCCCACCCUCCACUCCUGACAUCAGCUGUGUGGCGACCUAAUCUCUAGUGGAUCCAGCUGGACGCCCUCUCCCUCCGUUCAGGUCUGCCGCUGCCUGCCUGAAGAUAGCCCAGCUCCAAGGCUGCUCCAUCACUCCAACUUCAGACGCCAACUGCUAGUCUCAGCUUCCGGCUGACCAGCUUUAAUCUGGGGUUCACAGCCCACUUUCUGGGAAGCACCUUUACGGAUGAAUAAAGAAUAUUGCCAAGGAAGCUGUGUUGGCUAAUCGCAGCGUGACGUAUCUGGGGAAGAGGGAACCUCACUUGAAGUCCAGCCUCCAUCAGACCAGCCUGUGUGUGUCUAUUCGGCGUUUUCUUGCUGGGGAAUUGAAGUAGGUGGGCCCGCCGUGGGCGGCGACAUCCCUACGCAGAUUCUUCUACUGUGAUGGCUAAAAACACAAGGAUAUUGGUUUGGUAAAGAAGUGGACAUGUGUAGCUUCAGUCUCCUGAAAUCUUCAAGGGAUUGCAUUUUGCUUCAGCAUAUGCAACAGUAGUACAAUGGAUUCCAUGAACCCACAGUCCAGUUCGGCACCAACACCCUACCGUGCUUGUCUCGGCUCCCAAGCCCACACACUUAGAACAUAACUGCUGUGUCAGUACACCCACGAGCCGGUAAGUGCUUUCCCAGGUCCCUGCCGAAGCUCAGUGAUCUCCGCCGGCAGAAGGGCACGGUGCCAAGUUCUGCGUUUUCCUUUGUUGAGAAACUAGAACGUGUGGCUUUACAUCUUACAACAAAAGGUUUUAAAAGUGUCACUGUUCCUCAUGGAAAGGACAGGAUAACUUUCUCACUCUGAGAACUAGUUUGCCAGGAGACAUAUGUACUUUCUCAUUAAACCUGUAAAGUUUAAAUCACCUAGCUAUCUGGCUCCCAGUUCUGACUUUUCAAAUAAGGAUUAAAAACAAAAUUAAUACAAAAUUAAUAUAUGAUAUGAAUUCUUCUGUCUUCUUACUAUUUCUUCAAUGAUAAAACUGCUCCCUGUUUUUAGAAGAUAUAGAAUAGCAAAUAAAUAGUUUAUAAAAAACACUGUAAGAAACACUGUAUAUUCCACAUGAAAUUGUUAGUUUUCCUUUUGGUCUUCUGUAUUUGAAUAUAAACCUUCUAUAGGAAAAG